GAUGAACGCUGGCGGCGUGCCUAAUACAUGCAAGUCGAGCGAACAGACGAGGAGCUUGCUCCUCUGACGUUAGCGGCGGACGGGUGAGUAACACGUGGAUAACCUACCUCUCAGACUGGGAUAACUUCGGGAAACCGGAGCUCAUACCGGAUAAUAUAUUGAACCGCAUGGUUCCAUAGUGAAAGACGGUUUUGCUGUCACUUAUAGAUGGCUCCGCGCCGCAUUAGCUAGUUGGUAAGGUAACGGCUUACCAAGGCAACUAUGCGUAGCCGACCUGAGCGGGAGAUCGGACACCCGGGAAGUGAGACUCGGUCCAGACUCCUACGGGAGGAAGCAGUAGGGAAUCUUCCGCAAGGGGCGAAAGCCUGACGGAGCAACGCCGCGUGAGUGAUGAAGGUCUUCGGAUCGUAAAACUCUGUUAUUAGGGAAGAACAAAUGUGUAAGUAACUAUGCACGUCUUGACGGUACCGAAUCAGAAAGCCACGGCUAACUACGUG
rnacentral:rRNA from 1 species